UACGAAGGGGGCUAGCGUUGCUCGGAAUGACUGGGCGUAAAGGGCGCGUAGGCGGAUGGUACAGUCAGAUGUGAAAUUCCUGGGCUCAACCUGGGGGCUGCAUUUGAUACGUGCUGUCUUGAGUUCGGAAGAGGGUCGUGGAAUUCCCAGUGUAGAGGUGAAAUUCGUAGAUAUCGGGAGGAACACCGGUGGCGAAGGCGGCGAUCUGGGUAGAUACUGACGCUGAGGUGCGAAAGCGUGGGGAGCAAACAGG
rnacentral:rRNA from 1 species